GAUGAACGCUGGCGGCGCGCCUAACACAUGCAAGUCGAACGAGUAAGACGCCUUCGGGCGUGCAUAGAGUGGCGAACGGGUGAGUAACACGUGACCAACCUGCCCCCUCCUCCGGGACAACCUCGGGAAACCGAGGCUAAUACCGGAUACUCCGGGCCCCCCGCAUGGGGAGCCCGGGAAAGCCCUGGCGGGAGGGGAUGGGGUCGCGGCCCAUCAGGUAGACGGCGGGGUAACGGCCCACCGUGCCUACUACGGGUAGCCGGGCUGAGAGGCCGAUCGGCCACAUUGGGACUGAGACACGGCCCAGACUCCUACGGGAGGCAGCAGUGGGGAAUUUUGCGCAAUGGGGGCAACCCUGACGCAGCGACGCCGCGUGCGGGACGAAGUCAUUCGUGACGUAAACCGC
rnacentral:rRNA from 1 species